GGGGCACCACCAGGAGUGGAGCGUGCGGCUUAAUUUGACUCAACACGGGAAAACUUACCAGGUCCAGACAUUUGAAGGAUUGACAGAUUGAUAGCUCUUUCAUGAUUAAAUGGGUGGUGGUGCAUGGCCGUUCUUAGUUGGUGGAGUGAUUUGUCUGGUUAAUUCCGAUAACGAACGAGACCUUUACCAGCUAAAUAGUAAUUAUUAGGACUUGUCAUAGUAAGAUAUACUUCUUAGAGGGACUAUUGGUUUUUAAACCAAAGGAAGUAAAGGCGAUAACAGGUCUGUGAUGCCCUUAGAUGUUCUGGGCUGCACGCGCGCUACAAUGAUCAACUCAUCAAGUUAUCUCAACUUGUUUGUGAUUUACUUUUCCUGAAGGAGUGGUUAAUCUUCAACGUUGAUCGUGCUUGGGAUAGAUAAUUGUAAUUAUUUGUGUUGAACAAGGAAUUCCUAGUAAUCGUAAUUCAUCAGAUUGCGAUGAUUACGUCCCUGCCCCUUGUACACACCGCCCGUCGCUGCUACCGAUUGAAUAAUCCGGUGAACUCGUCGGAUUGUGGUAAAUAUUUAGCUUUCGGGUUAAAUUUUGCUGCGAGAAGUUGAGUAAACCAUGGAUUAGAGGAAGCAAAAGUC
rnacentral:rRNA from 1 species